UAAAAGCAAACUUUAUCCCCAUUUUUCAUUGCAUAAAAAACAAAUAGUUUGUUCCCUCACAAACAGAUCUAACUUAUGAAAUUUCGUCACUGGCGACCAACUCAUCUCUCUCCAUCGUCGGCACCUUAUCGCUACCUCAGACUCACAGAUGUUAAGGUGAUUUUUAUAUCUAGGGUUGGAGUUAAUUCCCUUCCAUCAUUUUCUGAGAAAAGCAAAUCGCCGCCUCCACAUGCUCGAGCCGAUUGCGAUUGUGGAUUACCUCAUCAAGCUCCGUAUAGACUCAUAGUUACUAAGGUGCUUGGUUGUUCCCUAAUCGAAGUCAUAAUGAGGUACAUUAAGUGAUGAUUAAGAAAGUACAUUUUUAAAUUUAUCUAUACAACAAUGGUGCGUGAAUUUCUACAGCGACAUUUUUUCUGUAGUUACAUUAUAUUUUAGGUCAGGAUUAUGUCCCUAUUGUAUUUGAUAUUUUGGUUCAAAGCCGAUGGCGGCACUAUUAGUCUGAGACUGCAGGAAUUGUCUAGGGCAUUAGUUUAUAUUUUACUUUUAAUAUCAUUGUAAUGUUAUUGACUACCUCUACUGUUAGAUUGAACAGGGUAGGAUGAUUACAAUAGAUUGGGGCCUUGAGCUAUCGUGGGAGGAUGUAUUUAGAAUUUUAAACUGGAAUUUUCUCUUGUUUGCAAUGCCAAUUAUGAAAAUUCCCCAAAAGAGGUAGAGUUCCUUCUUAAUUUUACUUGCUUUUAAAAUACAAUGGAGAAAUGCUUAUGCUAGCUGUAAUAUUAAUCCUCGUUAUCUUGAAGCAAGUUCAUAAAGACCUUGGCAUGUUUAAGUUUUCACUUCAGCUAUUUGGUCCAGGUAGAGGGUGGAAUAUCAACAACACUAGUACUUUCUAAUGUGGCAUUUUAGAAUUUUUGGUCACUCCUCUCAUUAGGACUCUUUGUCGUUGUUAAUCGCUCAGUUUCUUUGUUUAAUGGAGGCACAUCCUUCCUGAGUGAGACCAUUCAUUUGUCUUAACUUAGACUGAAAAGGUAUCUUAAUCCCUAAUUUCACCUUUUUUGAUUUCAAGCUACUUGCGCCUAUUAUAUACAAUUUUCUAUUUGGACUGACAUUUGACCUUCUUUCUAUUGUUGGACUUUAAGAACUUAAAUUUUACUGCUCGUUAUAUAUUUAAGUAUUGUUAAUGAGUAAUUUUUUUGUAUUGCAAUGACAGAAUUGUAGUCAAGCAAAUAGAAUCAAUAGGGCUAAGCAAAAUAUACCUCACAUGGGAGUAUCCAAAAGCAUAGCAACCUUUAUGAAUGAAAAGGAAAUGAUAAAUAAAAGGAUGUGCAAUUGUGAGAGAUCUACUGAGCAACCUCCUCGUAGUGUUGCUUGGGAAGGCGAUAUGUAUUCUCAGGUAUUGGGAAAUGAAAAAAGUGGGUAUGUUCGUAGUUUAGAACUUGGUCCAACUCCUUCUGUUCUAUGGGGUAGUAGGUCUUCCUUAGGAAAUAUUAUGGCAGAUGAUUCUUCUAAUGAGGUUAUACAAAGGUUAGAACAUAAGAUAAUCGAGUUAAAGGAGAAACAAAAUGAAGAAAUGAAUAUGAUGAAACAAAAUCAGGAGAUGAUGCAAUCAGAAUUACUCCAAAUAAGACAACUCAUGCGCAAAUAUGCUCCUGAUGCAUCUAUGCCUCAAAGUAGCAAUGGCACUUCAGAUCCCUAUUUCCAAUAGUGGACAUGAACGAGUACCACAAACAUCAAAGAUGCCUAGUGUUGCUAAAAAUGCUCAACCUUCUCAUGGUACUACUCAUAUUUGUCCUUCGUUGCUAUUGUUUUUCCAGUUUUCGCAUGCGAUCCAUGCUUGUUCUCUUGAUAUCCCAUCAAAUUCUCAGUAGCAUAUUGUCCAAGAUUUUAGCUGUAGCUUUUAUUUCUCUACUUGUGUAUCAAAAUUGUCCGCAAACCUCAUUGCUUCUUGUGUCCAGUAGAAGUGCACAUAGUUGAUCAUGCACAGUUUGUCGUGAAACUCUUGUGAAUUCCAAUAGUAGAUUUAUGUGUCCUUUGUGUGACACCAUUGUAGGGAUGUAGAAUGAUUGAAGUGCAUUAGGAUGAGAUACCCCAUUACCUUCAUAAUUCCCUUAUUUUUAUGCCAAAGCAGUGUAUUUCCUUUGAAUGGUCCUUUGAUUGUGGGCAUCGUACUGUUGCAUCUCCAACAUUCCUUCUUAGUUGUACCUUCCAUAUAUAGGUACUGAUCAUUGAUGUACUAGGGCAGAAAUAACACCCUCGAGUACUAGAGAUCUUCCAAGCUUCCAUACUUGUGCUCAUCUGUGAUAUCCUUUCCUGGGAAUGAGCACAAUGUGCUAAUACCACCCAUAGAAUUUCAAUCACAAGAUGAGGUCAAACCGUCUGAUGUUGGAUAAUUUAGCGGGUAAAAGAUUUCAAAAUGAUGAAAAGUUGCGGAAAUCAUUUGAAGACCAUCAUUCGUCCGGAUUAGUUAUAUAAUGACAUUAGCUAUUUAGUUUAAACAAUAUAUUUUUAUGUUUUAAAUUACUGUAAUAUUAAUAUUUUUGAUUAGUACUUCCUUUUGUUUGUUAA